rnacentral:lncRNA from 1 species
AGGGACUUCUUCACCUUCAAACGCCCCAAGCCGAGCCAACCAAGGCAACACAAGCUAUAAGCAGAGUAGCCUCGCAACAUGUGCUAUUUCUGGUUGAGCAUCAUUUCAGAUUGGGCACCGCCUCAUAUCGAGUAUUAGUCCUAGAUGACAUCUAGUUACUUCGGCCUACACAUGGACUGAAUUUCAAGUCUCCAGCCAAAAGAUUCUCUUGACUGAAGACUUGGGGGACUACUGUUUAUAUCAUACUUAGGGCCCCGUAUUUAGACCUCGUAUAAAUACUCGGAGGACUCAAAUGUAAUUAUGUAAUAAAUGAAUGGGCAAAUAUGUAAUAAGUGAGGAGCCCUUAUUCUAUAAAAUGACUCAUCACUCUCCUCAUUAGGGAGGCCAAUUCUUAAGCCUGACCAUCACCCUCUCAAACCCUCAAUCUCAGAGGCUCUUUCCCUCACAAUCCUCUUAGAGAAAUACAAUAUCAGUGUGGACGUAGCCCAAACAUUGGGGUGGACCACGAUACAUCUUGUGUUCUUUACUUUCCUACACAUUCACAGUCGGAUUUACGUUGUUCCAAGACCCCUCCGGUUUUGUGCAUCAACAACAUUAUGUACCAUAUAUAUUAGGCCUCAACUGGGCCUCAUAAAAAAUACUUAGGGGACUUAACCCAUUAUUCAUGUACUGAGGAGCGAGCUCUUAUUUUAUAAAAAAGACUCCCUCACCAUCAUUAGAGGAGCAUCGCCGCCUACUAAGCAACCAACUCACCGCGAGCAUCACUCCUAACCCAUUAUUCAUGUACUGAGAAGCGAGCCCUU